rnacentral:rRNA from 1 species
UACGUAGGGCGCAAGCGUUGUCCGGAAUUAUUGGGCGUAAAGAGCUCGUAGGUGGCUUGUCACGUCGGGUGUGAAAGCUUGGGGCUUAACUCCAGGUCUGCAUUCGAUACGGGGCUGGCUAGAGUCCGGAAGAGGAGAGUGGAAUUCCCGGUGUAGCGGUGAAAUGCGCAGAUAUCUGGAGGAACACCGGUGGCGAAGGCGGCAUCCUGGACCAACACUGACGCUGAGGAGCGAAAAGCCAGGGGGAGCAAACGGGG